GCGUUCAACACUUAUUGAAGGACACGAGUUUGGCUCUCUCUGGAGACCUGCAAAGAGCAUCAGACAGAAAGUUACUGAAUAGAUGAGGACACUGAGGUUCAGAGAGGUAAAGCUGCUGUUCCAAUGUCACACAAGAAUGACUACUUUGGGUCUAUCAUGGCUGACUUCAAAACAUCAUUUCUACAAGGAUGUUCAGAGGAAAGGGAGCCAAGAAGCUUUCUACACAAGCAUUUUCAUUCCCAGAGAUACAAGAAGUUUGGAAGCCCCUCUUGCCUCCCACCUCCAAGCACCCCCCGCUUCUGUUUGCCAACUCCAAGGCACUGUUCUCUCAUUUCCCCCAAACUUCCUUAUAGGCUCAUCAAAGGAGAUGUUUCAUUAAGUUGGUUGUACUGCAUACUGAAAUAACCAGUUGAAGAGUCAAGCCGACUAUUUGGCAUUAAGUAGUUGAAUAAACUAAACAGUAGUUUGAAUUCAGGAUUAAAAAUGAACAAGCAAAACCCCACCAAAAUCUCUUGAUUUAGAUAAACCAGUGUGUGUGUGUGUGUGUGUGUGUGUGUGUGUGUGUGUAAACACACAGAUAGCAUAAACAUCAUUGUCCACAGAAGCAUUUGUAUUUUGCAUCCUGGGAUUUCCUUUAUAGAUUGAUGGGAAGCUCCAAAUAGUGUUCAGAUUCAAGCAAUUCUCACCUACUUCAUAUGACUGAAGCAUAGACCAUGCCUCCAACUCUCUGGUACCUGGUGGGACACCAGGCUUUAACCAACCAAGAAUCCAUCAACAUAGUUACACACCAAUGAUAGUGGAAUCCUAAGAAAAUCCUCAUUAGUCAAGAAAACUAGAGGCGUAAAAGGAAGGAGCUGAAAAAAAAAAGUCCAAUAAUAUUCAUUCUAAGAUUAUCCUGGGCAAUGGAAAAAUCUUACUUAAAAUUCCUCUCAUUCCUACAAAAGGGCAGAUGCAACCAUAAGGACUCUACAAAAUCAAACAGUUCAAUUUGAUCUUAUCCCUGUAAAAGAUGGGCAGUGGACCAUGCCCUGCCUCCCAAACAGCAUUACUUUUCCUUUGGAUUCUACGUGGCCAGAAAGACCCACUUUUAAGUGAGUUGACUUCUUUUGGGAGGCUCAAAUCCCUUCAACCUUAGUUUUCAUAAAGUUUGUGCAUGGGAGGGGAGGGGGGAAGAAAGAAACUAGACUGGGACACAACUUCGUGCCUAGACAUUUAGCUAGAGAGCCAGUCUGAAACACAGGAAGACCUGGGUUCAAGUCCUACCUCUGACAUACACUGGUUGUGACCCUGGGCAAGUUCCUUAGCAACUUCUCUAUGCUCUAGGCUACUCUCUAGACUUAAGUUGGAAACAAAGUGUCAAUAUGCAUUGGUACAAGGAGUUUCCUUACCAGGGAAUUCCCUAUCUCUCAGUCUCUGUCCCUGUUGAAAUGCCUUGUGCAUAUACAGAAUCACUGACUUCACAUUCUAAUGGAUUGCUAUGUAGCAAAAAUAGCCAUAGUGGUAGUAGCCAUCAAAAUAAGACAGGAAAAGGAGUAAGGAUUUCUGAAUGAUAAGCUAAAGAUAUAUACUGAAAGCUGUUAAAUGCAUUUUACUGGGGGCAAACUGUAACCUCUAAAAUCACAGCACUGGUAGGGGCCACAAAAGCCAUCUAGUCCAACUCAUACUUCAACAGGAAUAUUCCUGUUCCCUGAUAUUCCUAGCAAGUGGUCAUGCAGCUUUUGUCUGAAGACCUACCAUGAUGAUGGGGAAACCCAUUACCUUCUAAAACAGCCCAUUCUUUUUUUUUGGAUAGCUCUAAAUUUUAGAAAGAUUCUCUUUUUAUUAUACCAAGAUGAGCCAGCUGAGGCAUGGCAAAACAAUUCUAAUCCCUUUUCCCACACAUCAUCCCAUUGAAUCUUCAAGAUAACUGUUGUGACUUACCUAAGGCUUCUCUUCACCAAGGCAAAACAUACCUAGCAUGGUUUUUGGAUCCCUCUACCAUACUAAUCACAUUCUUUUGGACAUAUUCCUGCUUGGCAGUGGUCUCCUUAAUGUGCAGCACCUGGAGGCAAACACAGUUCUCCAGAUGUGGUCUGACCAGGACACAAUACAGGAGAACCACUGCCUCUCUCACUUGGGACACUGCCUCAAUUAGUGUGACUUGGCUUUAUGUUUGCUUUUUUGGCUGAGAUAGUAAGAUCACAGUCCCCUAAAAUCUCCAGGUUCUUUUUUGUGAGCUGUUUUGCCAGUGUUCCCCAGCUUAGAUAGGUAAUUUUCCAGCCACAGUUGUUUCUCAGUAUGUCCUGUCCCUGUAUGUAGAUAAUGCUAAUGACAUCUGUUUGGGCAUGUGCUUUGGGUUGUUUUUCUAGAUGUGAUUAUGAAUAUGCCCUAAUCCAUCCACAUUCUCUUGACUAGUUUCCUUAAUGACCAACAGCACAUAAGUUAUGAUGUCUAGCUGGGCUUAGGGGCAUAAUUUUGACCAUAGACUAGAACAGAGCUAACUGGUCUACGUGGGGACUGGAUACAUGGUCCUGGCCAUAUCAACACUAUGCUUCUGCAAAAUCUGAAGGUGUUAGGGAGGGAGGGAGGGAGGGAGAAAAUUUGGGAUUCAAGACUUUUAAAAAAAUUAAUGUUAAAAAUUGCCUUUAAAUGUAAUUGGGAAAAAAUUAAAAUAUUAUUAAAAAAACCUUAAGCUGUGAAAUUGAUGCCAGAAUUUCACUAAAGCUAGUUGUGCAAAUCUUGAACUUGGGGAAACACUUCUAUUCCUGUGAAGAGCCUAUAAAAUAGUGAAAUAAAACAUUUUUUAAAGCAAUUUCCUUUUUCUGUGAGAUACAGACUUGUAUCAGAGUAGACUGACAAUUUUUAAACCUUCACUUGGGAUGACUACAUGUGAUUUGGUGGCACUCCCCUAGAAAUUACAAACCAAGCACAAUUCAACAAAAUCCCAUCUGCUUCAGACAGCUGAGCAGCAUGAGUGGCAUUAAGAAAAAUACUUGCUGACUUGACCUACCAAUUACCCUUCCACCGGCUCAUCAUUCACUUCUGAACUAUGGCUCAAGUGCUCCAUUUCAUAAAGCCACAGGAUUCAGAACAGGGAGGACUCUUUGGAAUCAUAUUAUCCACAUCCUUCAUCUUAUAAAUAAGGAAACUGAGCCCCAGUGAGGUUAAGUGACAUCUCCAAGGUUACACCAUAAGUGGUAAAAGUAGGAUUCAAACCUCUGUCUUCGAAUCCAAUGUUCUUUCCCUUCUAUCACAAUGUCCUUAAGACCCUGAAUGAUCGAUCUUAGGACCAGCUUCUAUGUAAGAUUUAGUAUCUUAAUUCAGAGUGCUCCAGGGGAAAAGGUUCAAUACUUAAAUUUCCUUCAUGGCUUGCAGCAUGCUUUUUUCAAGAGAAAUCUUUACUUUACUUCAAAUUGCAAAAUAGUAACACAUCGGUCUACAGGAGUUUAUGUACAUUCUGCAGAUGUCUUUGUAUACUUAGAACCAUUGUUUUGAAGAUGUUCUUACACAAGUUAGAGGAAAGAAUACAGAACAGAGUGCCUCAUGACAAUGAAUCUCAAAAAAAUCCACACCAUUUGAAAUUUGCAAAAUCCUCCACAAAAGGUCAGGAAGACAAAUGAUGUUGAUCAGAGACAUAUAUGUUCAGUGGAUUCUUGGUUUUGGUUGUAAAAUAACUAUGCCUCCAGUUGUUCAGUUACAUGUGGCUCUAAAAGUACAGAAAAUCCCUAUGACUGGGGAUAUAAGACUUGAUGGCCUCUAGACCUUACUGAUAGAUACUACUGGUGCUUCUCAGAUCAAUGGGGAUAUUGACAAGGGACUUGUGAAAAAGCCUCUGUCAACAUGCCAGUCAUCCACAGUAACCUUACUUGUACAAGCCUGUGGAAGUGAAAGAUGAAAUAAGAGGCAGCUAUAAUUAAGAAUUUUGUUUUCCCAGCUUUCCUUCCAUUUACAACAAAUUUCUAUGGAGAGGGAGGUGUUUCCUUAUCUGAUUAUAAGGCUGAAUCCAGAUUAGGCAUGAUAUUCUCUUUUUUCUUUCCUACUCACUUUCCACACACUUUUUUUUUUCGGCUAUCUUACACCAAUGGUGGUGUCUUUUUCUGAAAAGUUCAAGAAUUCAGAUCCUUCUAUGAGGUCAUACUAUUUACAUUUCUAAACAUGCUCAGUAGUGAUGAGAUGAAGAUUUUAUUCUCUUGAAUUUUUACAUAAGGAUAUUUUGUCUACAUUUAUAUAGCUUUAUUUCUCUAAAAUAUUUGUGUAGCAACUUCUAGCCUUCACAUUUCACUUAACUUAGUGUCUAUCUGCUUGCCUUGUCCUCUUGGGAGAAGGACAGAAUGAAGACCGGUAUUAAAUAUAAAUAUUAAAUUAAAUAUACAUGAUACAAGGAGUUAUGUAAUACUUCAAUUUGCAUUCUCAAAGCAGAUAAAAAUUCACAUUGUCACAUUUAAAAAAAGACCACAAAACAAAAAUAAAAAGGCUUUUUUCUGCUCUGGCACCUACCACCAUUUGGUGAUUUUGUUUGCAUAGGUUACCAACACCCAACCCUUCUCCCCAAUCCCUCAUGGUUACUAAAAUACAGUAGAAAUUUAAAAAAAAAACCACCUUCUGACAGGUGAGGUCACCAACUAGCUAUAUUCAAAAGGAUGUCAUCUGACAAUCAUUUUUCCUUGGGAAACAAAGGCAUAGCCACGUGAAUGCUAAGGAUACAGGAAGAAUAAAGGCUUACUUGAUAUGAGUAAGAUCUCUUGGUGCUUGAAGGAGACAAGAUCAGUUUUUAUAGUAUUUGGAGUUUCUUGAAAGAGACUAUGCAGGAUUUAAAUGCAGGUUAUGGUCCUUUUUGUUUUGAAGCUUGCUGGGAUGCCUCCAGUGAGGUUAGUCAAAUACCUUGGAAGAUGCUGUCACAGUUUUCUAAGCCCUAGAUGGUUUCUGGACUGAGGAUGUUAAUGAAUAAACUGAAGGAAAGCAGUAAUCCUGGAAGUUUUCGUUGGGCUGAAGUUGUCUGGUGGAGAUAGGUUUUGUUUAUUCAAGUUCUCACACCUUUGGGUAAGGAUAAAGCUUAGCAGAUUCCUUCAGUCAACACCAUUGAGGUGAAAGCCAUUGCAAAGUAGUCAUCAGUCAGGAAAUGGAAAAAAGAAGCCACUAUGUUACUUUCCAAUUCUUUAACCAGAUACUUGAAGCUUUCUACAAUUUGGCUCCAAGAUGCUUUCCAUCCUUUUCUCCCAUCAUUCCCUUCACUUACUAUAGAGGGAUAGGGACUGCAUCUGUGAUUCUUUCAUUGAUAAAGGGAACUCACAAAUGAGGAAACUCAUUCUGCCAAUGCAGGUUGCCACCUUCCCUACAAUAUAAGAGAACAGAUCUUUUAAUAGUUGUGGUGUUGCCUAGAAAAAGCACUGAGCGGUUAGGUGAUUGAUCCAGGGAUACAGUCAGGGAUGUGUUAAAGACAAAACUUCAGCCUAGUUCUUCGUGGACUGAAGGACAGAUCUCAAGCUACUAUGCAAAACUGCUUCUCAAACACUAUAUAUUUCAACUAAAUGAGACUACUAGCUCUUCUAUGAGCUCUACCAUUCUUUCUGGCCUCCCUGCAUCUUUGUGGACUGUUAUUCAUGCCCGGGAAAACAUUCAUUUCAAAUCUCUGCCUGCAAAAAUUCAUCUCUUCCUUUAAAGCCUGACAAAGGCAGCCCUUCUUCCAGGAAGUCUUCCUUGAUGCUACUAGCUCUCUUUAAAUUUCCCCACAACACCAUGGCUAGAUCUCUCCUUUGCCCCAUUAUAAGUGACUGCAUAGCAUAAUUAUUUGUGAAGAUGUUAUAUUCUCUCUCCUUAUGCCCACUUCCUCCAGGGCAUCGACCAUGCAAUUAUUUCAUCUUUGUUUCUUUAAAGCUUAGCACUAUGCCUUGUACACUAUAGUGCGUUCAAUUUAAGGUGAAUGAGUUCUUUUCUUAAGACUUAUUUUGGGGGCAGCUAGGUGGCACAGUAGAUAGAGCUCCAACCUUGGAGUCAGGAGGA